AGCGAACGCUGGCGGCAGGCCUAACACAUGCAAGUCGAACGAAGUCUUCGGACUUAGUGGCGGACGGGUGAGUAACACGUGGGAACGUGCCUUUAGGUUCGGAAUAACUCAGGGAAACUUGUGCUAAUACCGAAUGUGCCCUUCGGGGGAAAGAUUUAUCGCCUUUAGAGCGGCCCGCGUCUGAUUAGCUAGUUGGUGAGGUAAAGGCUCACCAAGGCGACGAUCAGUAGCUGGUCUGAGAGGAUGACCAGCCACAUUGGGACUGAGACACGGCCCAAACUCCUACGGGAGGCAGCAGUGGGGAAGCUUGCGCAAUGGGCGAAAGCCUGACGCAGCCAUGCCGCGUGGAUGAUGAAGGUCUUAGGAUUGUAAAAUCCUUUCACCGGUGAAGAUAAUGACUGUAGCCGGAGAAGAAGCCCCGGCUAACUUCGUGCCAGCCGCCGCCGUAAUAC
rnacentral:rRNA from 1 species